UACGUAGGGUGCAAGCGUUGUCCGGAAUCAUUGGGCGUAAAGAGCGUGUAGGCGGCUCGGUAAGUCCGCUGUGAAAGUCCAGGGCUCAACCCUGGAAUGCCAGUGGAAACUGUCGAGCUAGAGUCCGGAAGAGGCGAGUGGAAUUCCUGGUGUAGCGGUGAAAUGCGCAGAUAUCAGGAGGAACACCAAUGGCGAAGGCAGCUCGCUGGGACGGUACUGACGCUGAGGCGCGAAAGCGUGGGGAGCAAACAGG
rnacentral:rRNA from 1 species